UCUGGGUCAGGAGUUCCGGCAUAGCUUAACCGGAUCCUCUGCUUAGGGUAACAAAAGGCUGCAAUCAAGGUGUUUCCCAGGACUCGGUUCUCAGCAGAGGCUCCACUGGGGAAGGAUCUGUUUCUGAGCUCUUGCAGGUUGUUGGCAGAAUUCAUUUCUUCAUGGCUGUAGGACUCAUGGCAACUUGUUUUUCAAAGACAGCAAUGGAGAGAGACUCUAGCAAGCUUGGCACUCCAUGGACAUUCCAUCCCUCUUGCCACAUUCCAUUGGUUAGAAGCAAGUCCCAGGUCCUGCUCACACUCAAGGACAGGGGGUUAAACAAAAGUAUGAAUACCAGGAGGCAGCUGUUUUGAUCACUUUGGGAAACCUGCGGUGUGCCACAGCUGAUUGGAUGAGAAUUCAUUUGGAGUGGGGGAAAGAGUAUGAAAUAAUAGGCCUCGGAGCCACCGAGAGGAGGAUGAGUCCCUGGAGCUGGUUCCUGCUGCCGACCCUCCGCCUCCUGCCCGCGAGCGCAGCCCCUCCGCGCGGCGCGCCCGCCUCCGCCAACUGCAAGCUCAAGCCCCAACAAAGUGAGUUGAAUUCCUUCUUGUGGACCAUAAAACGAGACCCGCCGUCUUACUUCUUUGGCACGACCCAUGUCCCGUACACCCGGGUUUGGGACUUCAUCCCGGACAAUUCCAAGGAGGCUUUUCAGCAAAGCAGCAUUGUGUACUUUGAGCUGGACCUCACGGACCCUUCCACUAUCUCGGCCCUCACCAGCUGUCAGAUGCUUCCACGAGGUGAGAACCUCCAGGACGUGCUCCCCAGGGACAUUUACUGCCGCCUUAAGUGCCACCUUGAGUACGUCAAGCUCAUGAUGCCCUCGUGGAUGACGCCUGACCAGCAUGGUAAGGGUCUCUACGCAGACUACCUGUUCAAUGCCAUCGCGGGCAACUGGGAGCGGAAGAGGCCCAUCUGGGUGAUGCUCAUGGUCAACUCCCCGACCAAAGUGGACAUCAAGUCCCGUGGGGCGCCCGUCUUAGACCUGUACCUUGCCCAGGAGGCCGAACGGCUGAGGAAACAGACGGGGGCAGUGGAGAAGGUGGAAGAGCAGUGCCAUCCAUUGAAUGGGUUGAACUUCUCACAGGUCAUCUUUGCCUUAAACCAGACCCUCCUGCAGCAGGAGAGCCUGCGAGCGGGCAGCCUUCAGAUCCCCUACACAACAGAGGACCUCAUCAAACACUAUAACUGCGGGGACCUCAGCUCCAUCAUCUUCAGCCAUGACAGCUCCCAGGUUCCCAAUUUUAUUAAUGCCACGCUACCACUUCAGGAGCGCGUCACUGCUCAGGAGAUCGACAGCUACUUCCGCCGGGAGCUUAUCUACAAGCAGAACGAGAGAAUGGGGAAGUGGGUGAAGGCCCUUUUGGAGGAGUUCCCUGACAAAGGCUUUUUCUUUGCCUUUGGAGCCGGGCAUUUCAUGGGCAACAACACAGUUCUUGAUGUUCUGCGGCGCGAAGGCUAUGAGGUAGAACACGCCCCCGCUGGACGACCCAUCAACGAAGAAGAGACCGGAAACCCGUUGUCACAGCCCGCCUCCUCUGCCGUCUUGGCUCCGGAAGCGCCCGCCCCGGAAGCUCAGGUACCGGAAGCUGGGUCUGCCGGGGCCCCACUGUUGCGGCUCCACGUGUCUCUAAACAGAAGUGCUGACCUGCCGGGCGAGGCACGACAAAAGUUCCAGAAGAAGCAGAGGCGGCCGCAGCGGAGGCAGCGGCUCCGGCAGUUCAGCGACCUGUGGGUCCGACUGGAGGAGAGGUGAGGUGGCUGGGCCGGGCUGGGCCAGCCGUGAGCCCAUCGCCUGGUCAGCGAUCAGGGAGAAGCUCAUAGCUUUCCAGAGCUGGAAGCACCUCUGUAGGAAUGGGCUUGUUCAGCCCCUACGUUUUGCAGGGAGCAUGGCGACCACAGAAUGUGCACUCGCAGAGAUGCCCAGUGGGUGGAUCAGAGGUGGGUAGAGGAGCCAAAGAUGGGGACCCAGCCUGGUUUCUGCUGGAAGAACUACACCAGAGAGGCCUGGGAUCCAGGAUACAGUUCAAUUUAUACCAAACUUUUUGAGUUCUUCCUAUGUGCCCGCUGUUGUGUUGGUGCUGUGGCUUUGGGGGUGAACCAGACCGACAUUGGCCCUGCCUUCAUGGAGCUCACAGUCUGGGGAGGAAGCUGGAUUUUGAGUUGAUUAUUCACAAGGGGAGUGUAGGGGGCUGCGGGGAUGUGCGUGUGUGUGUUUGUGUGUUGGACAUUACUACCUAACUUAGGGUGGUGGGUGUCAGGAAGGGCCUCCUGGAGGAAGCGACCUUUUGGUUGCUGCUGAGUAGAAGCCUGAACAGAGCUUCUGAGUCUGGAUCAGGAGAUGCAGGCAUCUGAUACCUGCAUAGGUGCUUAAUAAUAAAUGUUGAUUGAAUGUGUAAACAACUGAACAGCGAGGGGAGGGAGUUCCCCGCAAGGGGAACAGUGAAAAAGCCUGAUGUGGAGAGAGUGAUCCUGUUAAAGGAACCAAGAUGAAGUAAUUCUGGCUGGAGCCUGGGAGAUCAGUGGGAAGAGGGGUGAGGUAGGUCUAGAAGGUAAAUUGGAUGGAAUGACUGUGAGAAUCUGAUGCCUGAGAGAAGUAGGGUGCCACUGAAAGGUUUGAGGCGGGCAUUCCUUGUGCUGUGGGGUUUGCAUUUUUAAAUGGACAGAAGCUGGCAGCCAGAUGUGACCUGGAGAGCAGGGACAGAUCCUGUUGGUGUCCAUGUGCCCCAUGGUGCCUGACACGGGGAGGCUCCUCAACCAUCCUUCAUUGAUGGAGGAAUACACUGACCUGUUUAGUACCUUCUCAGUCUGGGCCAUUUCCUUUCAAGGUGGCCAUGCAGGGAUUGGGCACUUUACAUCAGAGCUGAGCUGAAAGGACCAGCAGUAGUAACGAGGGCCAAGACAUAGGAAAUCUAUUAACAUACUAAGAUCCAUUCCUGUCUUUGGAAGAGAGAGGUGAAAAGAAGCUGUGCAGACCUUUGGGGGCCUCGGAGUAUCCAGUGGCUCUUGCUGUGCCCUGAGACUGUGUCCUUCUCUUUGCCUCCAAGUGCUGGGAUCCCACAGCUCCAGGUCCCCUUUCUGGCCAGGCGCAUUUCCGCCGAGCUGCGCCUCCCUCGCCCUGGGCAGUCUCCCCACA